GUCUCUGUGGUGCAACUGGUUAGCACGUUCGGCUGUUAACCGAAAGGUUGGUGGUUCAAGCCCACCCAGAGACG
rfam:Merops nubicus contig19375, whole genome shotgun sequence.